AGCACAGAGGGGGCAGAGAUUUUUACAUCACUAUCUAGCUUUUCGAGGGCCCGGUGAACAAUCCGGACAAUCGCCAUCAUGGAUUUGCAACAGGAAAAAGCUACAGUAUGCCAGUC